GCGUGGAGAGGAGUUAAACUUGAGGGCAGCAAUGGCUUGCUGAUUGUUAUCGUUGCAUAAGUUUGGGGCAUGCUAACAAUUGUACAUAUCCCUGAGCUAGAGUUGGAAAAAAUUGGUCCAAACUUUAUUAUAUGUGUGAGAAUCAUUAGUCUGUACCUUGGUACCUACAAUAAUAUUCAAGAGACGUAUGGUGAAGAGUCUCUGGUAACUUAAUUUUUAAGCGCACCCAGAAGAGUUAAUCCCAUGUACUAUUUGUUCCACGUGCAUGAACAUAAUUGCAGCAAGAAGUUUGCCUCUGCUUUCUUGUUGGACCUAGAAGUUGCAAGGGUUCUGAUGAAAUCUAAUACUACAAUGUGGUAGAUGGUAGUAUAUGCAGAGUCUAUGGCCAUGGUGGAAGAGGACCACGAGCAUCACUGGUGCCGAAACGAAGCUCAAUUGCUCCCCACAUGCAUCAUAUGGUCACUGGGAUCAUCUAUGGAUCAACUGAGGAAGCAUAAAUGAGGAGGUGGUAAGUUUCAGCCAUUUUGUAGAUUUGAUAAAGUUUUAAAAAGUUCCAAGGUGGGAUGACAAAUUUCUGAAGUGGUGGCAAUGCUGAGCAAAUGGCAAGCUGGGACUAUUGCUAGAGUUGCUGAAGUUUCAAAAGGUUGCAAGAUGAGAUGAAAAACUUCUAAAAUGAGGACAAUGCUAUAGAGUUAGGGUGAAUGAGGAGAAUAAAAAAUGAAAGGGAAGUAGGGUUAAGGAUAAAAAUGUUGUUUUCUUUUCUUGGAAGGAGAUGUUGGUAAGGAAUUAUGAGAAAAAUGUGGAGAAUAUAUAUCUUUAUCUUCAUAUGAAUGGGUAGUACAUGUUUCUACGCU